UACGUAGGGGGCAAGCGUUGUCCGGAUUUACUGGGCGUAAAGCGUGCGUAGGUGGUUUGUUAAGUCUGCUGUGAAAGCCCCGGGCUCAACCUGGGAAUGGCAGUGGAUACUGGCAAGCUAGAGUGCGGUAGAGGGGUGUGGAAUUCCCGGUGUAGCGGUGAAAUGCGUAGAGAUCGGGAGGAACACCAGUGGCGAAGGCGGCACCCUGGACCAGCACUGACACUGAGGCACGAAAGCGUGGGGAGCAAACAGG
rnacentral:rRNA from 1 species